ACAUCUGAUUAUCCGACUCACGGAUAUCACCCCUCUGCUGAGCAACAAGGCAAGCAACUAUUUUGAUCAUCUCGAUAAAUCCCAUGUUCUCGCUCCUGCUCUUACUUAAUGCAUUAGGUCAAAAUGCUUUCAACGCUUUUACCACGUUAGUUGAACCCACUUCCUUUGCAUGACCUGUCCUUGUCACGGUAAAUAGCUGAACCUUGCAACCUAGCAUACCUGGUAGAUGCUUGAGCCAUGAUGUGUCUUUUCCUGCAAUGCAUGCUAUGCUUAGAGUUGUGUAUGGUCUGUCAUCUGGGUGAUGAACAGGAUCGUGAGAAUGUGUUGAGUUAGUAAAGGUUGUGUGUUGACCCUGAUUUGGUAAAGGUACUGGUGAAAGGCUAUGUAGGAGUACAUGGCGGGUUGUUUCAUUGGAACCGUCCUUAGGAACUGAGUUCCGUGUAUGUAAUCCAUGACAAGAUACUACCACAUGCUGGGCCCUGAAAUAUGACCCCGCUCAACUUAUUAACCGCUUAGUACUCGGUCCAGGAGUUGCAAGUAGUUUCUGGUGUUUAUAGUCAUGCUGGAGGCCGUGCGUAGCGCUGACCUUAGAGGUGGGCUAUGAUGCGGUAGGCAGUGGCACGGUGUACCAAGUGGCACCCGGAUGGUGGGCUUGGGAACCCUGCGCACAUCGUUUGGGACCAUGGCGGAAUCCUCGGCCGGACUUCCGUGCGGGUUACCCUCAGAUAGGCGAUAGACCUCGACUAAGUAUUAGCGUGGUUAACGGUUGUGGCCGACUCCCUCGUUGGGCUUCCGCUUGAAGGUUGCCGAGGUGCAUGCUGUGCACAUGGUGAUAAGUGGCAAGAGUGUGUGUGAAGAAGUACACCCCUGCAGGGUUAUGAUCUAUUCGAAUAGCCGCGUCCGCGGAUAUGGACUACUUGGAAACAUAUGUUGUUCAUAGAUAACUAUAAUGGCUACUCAUAAAAUUGUCAAGAUAAGUGUGAGUGUCGUGGACGACAUUUUCGUAGGGAGACGGAAUGAUUCCACGAUGGAGUAUUGUUGUGGUGUUAGUGGACUCGUGUGCGAGAAAUCAAAGUUGUCAGAAUUAUUCAAAAAUGCAAGUUGUCUAGCCAAGAGUCAAAUCCUGGCUUUCCGCAUGAAACGCCACAACUCCUUGUUGAUACAUUGCAUGAGUAGAUAGAUUUCCUAAAGUCUUGCUGAGUACUUUCGUACUCACAUUUGCUUAAUAAAUUGUUGCAGAGAUUGUUAAUGACCCUAAUGGAGGGUUCUACCUAGACGUUGACGAUGACGAGUAGCUGGUAUCACAGCUACGAUCUGGCCCUAGGUUGGGUCUGUAGAUAGUCAGACCAUGUGCCUUUAUCUUUCCAUCUGUCUGUACUCAGACAGUUUUAAUCUUCCGUUGCAUUGUAAAACUCGUAUGUAUGACUUGUGAUGAUGGGUCGUAAGACCCCUAUCUGUGUAAUACUAUAUGUGAGGUUCUUCCGAGCCAUCUAAAUAAAGGUUGUAUGUUUAUGGUUAUGUUGUGAUGCC
rnacentral:lncRNA from 1 species